CAGUAGUCACGUAGUUGAUCAUGGCUCAGAACAACGCUGGCGGCAUGCCUAACACAUGCAAGUCGAACGAGACUUCGGUCUAGUGGCGGACGGGUGAGUAACGCGUAGGAACCUGCCAAGCAGUGGGGAAUAACAGCUGGAAACGGCUGCUAAUACCGCAUACGCCCUUCGGGGGAAAGAUUUAUCGCUGUUUGAGGGUCCUGCGUUCGAUUAGCUAGUUGGUGAGGUAACGGCCCACCAAGGCGACGAUCGAUAGCUGGUCUGAGAGGAUGAUCAGCCACACUGGGACUGAGACACGGCCCAGACUCCUACGGGAGGCAGCAGUGGGGAAUAUUGGACAAUGGGGGAAACCCUGAUCCAGCAAUGCCGCGUGCGUGAAGAAGGCCUUAGGGUUGUAAAGCGCUUUCACCUGUGAUGAUGAUGACAGUAGCAGGAGAAGAAGCCCCGGCUAACUCCGUG
rnacentral:rRNA from 1 species